GGGCUUGUAGCACAACGGUAAUGCGCUGGGUUUGCAACUCAGAGACUCCCUGUUCAAAUCCGGGCAAGUCCACCA
rnacentral:tRNA from 1 species